CCUAGAUUCUCAGUUUUCCCAAUCUCUGUUAAUUCUCCGCAGCCUUGUCUUUGUUUGGGACGAGUAGGGUUUGGUUCAGAGGUUCGGUUUGUUCUCACCAUGAGGGCUAAGUGGAAGAAGAAGCGUAUGAGGAGGCUGAAGAGGAAGCGCCGAAAGAUGAGACAAAGAUCCAAGUAGUUUGUGUUCCCCUAACAACAAUUGCUUCUAGUUUUGUUUUCAUUUCGUAUUGUUUUUAUUUCGAAUUGGACUCCUAAGUAAGAGAGUAGUACCUGUCUCUCUCUUUUUUUUUUAAAUGUUAUGUUACGUUUUUAUUGGUUUC